rnacentral:misc_RNA from 1 species
UGAGUGCACCUUCAGUCACUGUAAACAUGGCGGUGCAAGUAGAUGCUGGGACGAAGGAAGACAUUAAGACACAAUUUACCACGAUUGAGGGAGUUUAUAGAUUGUUACCUCUGUCGGAAUAUAGCAGACCGAAUAGAGUGGCGUACAAUAACAGUGGUGGAAGUGGUACCAGUCCCCCAGUUAGAAUGUCCUUCGUAAAUUUACCCGAGUCCAAUGGCAGUGGCAACUCGAUAAACAGUGAUAGAACCAAAAUAUGUUUUAAUUAUGGCAGAGAACUGUUUGUGUAUACUUAUAGAGGAAUUAAGAAGGCAGUAGACCUAACAAAACCUAUAGACAAGAGAGCAUACAACAAAGAAGAUGUUCCCACAUGUCAUGAUUUCAACACCACGACAGCCAGUGGCGAAGGAGUGUCAUUGCUGGUAGGGUUGUUGGGUGGCCAGGUACAGCUCAUAGACCCUAUCACUAAGGAGGUUAAUAAAGCUUAUAAUGCUGGAGAGAGACUGAUUGACAAGACAAAAGUAACAUGUGUUAAGUGGGUACCAGGCUCUCCUAACCAGUUUUUAGCUGCUCAUAGUAGCGGACAUAUGUACACUUAUAAUGAAGAACUGUUGUGUGGUGUUGAUAGACCUAACUACCAGCUCUUUAAACAAGGCGACGGAUACUCAGUCUACACAUGUAAAACAAAAAGCACGAGAAACCCGCUGUAUAGAUGGGUCAUUGGUGAAGGAAGCAUCAACGAGUUUGCCUUUUCACCGUGCUCAAAGUACUUGGCUGUGGUGUCCCAGGAUGGUUCUUUGAGGGUGUUUAACUUCGAUACAAUGGACUUAGUGGGGAGUGCCAGAAGUUAUUAUGGGGGUUUAUUGUGUGUUUGUUGGUCGCCUGAUGGAAGAUACGUUGUUACAGGAGGUGAAGAUGACCUUAUAACUGUGUGGUCCUUUCAAGAGAAAAGAGUUGUGGCCAGAGGACAGGGUCAUAAGAGUUGGGUCACUGUAGUGGCUUUUGAUUCUUAUACAACAUUAUAUAGUGAUAUGGAUGGUUUUGAUGUUUGUAACGAAGACACAACGAAGCAUAAUAAUGUAGGUAAUGAUGUAAGAAGUGGAAAAUCUGUUAAUAGUGCUCCAAAUUCCAAACCAAACUCUAACAGGAACUCACUGGCCUCAGAAGGCUUAGGGUUGUCUGUAACAAGUUACCGGCUAGGUUCAGUAGGUCAAGACACUUUAUUGUGUUUAUGGGACCUUAAGGAUGAUGUGUUACGGCAGCCAUAUCUACGGCCAAGAUCGAGUACUGUUGUCAGCAGUAGUGGUGGAGUAGGAUCAACUGUGAGUGGUCACCAGACAUCACAGUCAGUGGCCAAUGCAAAGUGCAACAAUGUAAAAGAAUCGUCUGUUGGAAGUGAUGCAUCUCACCACUCGCACUCCACCAAUUCCCUCACAGCCAAGUUGGCCAACCUCAAUUUUGGUGAGAAGAAGGAUAAAGAAAAAGGCGAAAAGGACCAUAAAAGAAGCCUCAGUUUAGCAUCAAAAAACUCAACACAAAAUUGUAAAAGUUCGGUGAACAAGAAUCAAGUAGGAGGUUCAACUGUUCCACCCGAAGACUCAUGCAAGACAAUGGGUACAUCAAUAUGUCCACGGUUAGAUGAGUGCCCAGUUCUAGAGCCCAUGAUUUGUAAAAAAAUUGGGCAUGAACGUCUGUCUGGUCUAGUGUUCAGAGAAGACUGCCUCGUCACGUCCUGUCAGGAUGGCUGUGUCCUCACGUGGUGCAGGCCAGGGAAGCAGCCUGGUAAUAAUCAGCAUUCUACACCUAGUCCAACCAUAGCUGUUGCCAUGGGAGGAGGUCCAUUACCCUCAGGUGGAACAGUAGUGUAGCCUCAAUGAGUGGUAUUAAUUACUGCAAACUCCUGGACAACUGCUACAAAAUUGUGGCCAUCCCAGCCUCCUGUUUGAGGAGCCUCGCAUAGUGUGGGAACAACUGGUGUAGAACAUGUGGCAGACACCUGAUACACACCUAAUACAUAUAAGUUGUUGAACUACUGUUUAGAGAAAGGAUGAUGUUUUAUGGUAUUGUAAAUUUUAUGAUUUACUGCUGUAUUACCCAGAUAUAUAUAUAUAUAUUAAAAAGACUUUCACCCUAACAAUGUCCUGGAAUUCUUCAAAUCUGAAUGUGAUAAUAAAUGUACAAUACUGUCUUAUCCAUCAGUUGACAUGAUUAGGUCAGUUGCAAAUGCUAUCACAGGGAGAGCAGUAUUCUUAGCAAAUGGAAAACUAAGAAUGUCUAGUGAAAAACUUUGGAACCGGUUUUUCUAAUGACAAGCUGUGGUUAAAGGAGUUAUUGUGAUUGCCUAUGAUUUGCGGCUUAAAUGGAAGGGCACAUAUGUAUUAUACUUGUAAGGGUUAUACAAUGCUUCUUCAUAUUUCUGUGUAUAUAGUCUUGCUUUAAAUAGGUGUACAGUCAAGUUUCCUUUGUAAAUCAAUUGAGUGAUAAAUUAUGAAUAAUAUUAUUAACUACUAUUCAAAGACUAUUUCUCUGUAUCAUAUAUUUGGAUAGACAAAUAAAUUGUUGAGAAUUUAUAA